UACAGAGGGUGCGAGCGUUAAUCGGAAUUACUGGGCGUAAAGGGUGCGUAGGUGGUUAUUUAAGUUAGGCGUGAAAUCCCUGGGCUUAACUUAGGAAUUGCAUUUAAGUCUGGAUAGCUAGAGUUUGAGAGAGGGAAGUGGAAUUUCCGGUGUAGCGGUGAAAUGCGUAGAUAUCGGAAGGAACAUCAGUGGCGAAGGCGACUUCCUGGCUCGAUACUGACACUGAGGCACGAGAGCGUGGGGAGCAAACAGG
rnacentral:rRNA from 1 species